rnacentral:lncRNA from 1 species
AGCUACAAAGACGACGCCGGCUGCGCUCGCGGGACCAGAGGGAGGGAGGCUGCGGACGAGUGCGGGGAGGAGUUUGAGAUGGGAGGCGCUUGCAGGGGCUCCCCCAGUUCUGCGCUGUGAGCCGGGGCACAAAGAGCCCUCUGCACUAGCGCCGCAGGACCGCGGACCCGAGGUCCUUUCUCUGGCUGUGAUCCAUGCUUCUUCCCAGGGCAGGAUUACACUCUUUGAAUUUACUUAUUCAUCAAGACAGUGCAGAGUGGUGGAAAGAGAAGCAGCUGAGAGUUACGCAGUUGGAGGCAUCUGUCCACCCAUGUGGUUCCAGACACGUUCAUGUGGCCACCAUGACCCCGUCGGCAUCACAGGGGUAACCAAGGUCCACAGAACGAGGGGAAAGGGUCACUGUGGAUCAAGCCAGGCUCCUCUGAGCAGUCCAGGGUCUAUUUACAGAGAGCAGCAAGUUCCUGGGACAGAGGAGACAGAAGGGAAUUUCCAGGUUCUUCAGGACGUUCACAACCACACUGAGAAGCAUCUUUGCAGAUAAGUAUUUAAACUUACCAGCCCAUAGCCUACCAGCCUGCCCUCUUCUGGUCUGUGCAGGAAAGUGUAGUAUCCUAGAAUGCCAAAGUGGGAGGGGAAAUGGGUGAUGUAGCUCAUUCUCUUUUCUACCUCUAUGGAAGAAAGAAAGAGCCUGUCCCCAUUUUGUGGGGUCCCAGAAAGGGUGAUUUUCACACUUCACAUUUGGCGUUAGGGCUAGUAUUUCACAAACAUUACCGUCUGGAACUUUUGAAGGCUGAGUUAAAUGACUUCAUCUUGUGUACUUGUAGAACUGCUAUUAGAAGGAGGCUGGGGACUCCCUGAUGAUGUGAACCAGCCCUUCUCUUCUCAGUUUCAGCACUUUGUGAUCAUAUUUAUAAACCUUGGACAGGGCUCCUUGGCCUUAGAGUUAAGUGAAGAGUUAACACUGUGACUUUAGAUGCAUUUUUCUCAGUGUAAGUGUCUGAGCUCAUCUCCAGUUCUGGACUCGUGCCCCCACUCCCGGGUGCUGACAGCAAGCUCUGAAGAUAUGCUGAGAGAGCUCCCUGACUCUCCUGACUCAGGUCUGCCAGUUGAUGAAGACAGCACAGUUGUUACCAAAAACAAAACCUGGCAGAUGGUCCUAGGUCAGGAUUAGUGGUCAUUCUCUGGUCUUCUCCAGACUGGUGACACAGGGUGGUCUUAAAAGAGUCCUAGUCCAGCCUCUGGCUCCCCGAAUUUCCUCUGGUGCAUGGGGCAUCAGGAAAGGGCAGGGGAGAAGGAGGGGGAGCAGAAAAAUAACUGAGGCUGGGCAGAAGGGUCCCUUCCAUUUCCCAUCCAUUGCUUCAAACAAUGGGUGAUUACCGUGCACCUUGAGUGAAUGUCAAGGCAGGAAGGGUUCCAGGGCCACCCAGUGUGGCAGGAGCAGAGCUGGGAUCAGAAUUCUGGAUUCCUGACUCUCCGUUCAGCUGCUAUUCAGCUAUCACCAAGCUGCUGAGUUUGUCCUACUUUCUCCUGGGUCACAUUCUGCUGUUGUUGGGAAACAGGGAGUGAGUGAAGGGAACCUGGGAACCCUUCUCCCCUCACCUUUUAAGGAUGUUCUGGGGUGGAAUAAAGAGAGGUGGAGGGUGGGGUGCCUGGGCCCAGCCUCCCUGGCUCCUGGUCCUUCUUUCUUCAGCAGGGAGUUCUGGCAAGGCCUGGGCCUGGGGAGGGGGCCUGGGUGCAGUUUUCUCCUGCGGUGUGGUUGGCUCUUUUGUCUUCCAGGAUGGGCCUGUGGGGUCUGUGUGGGGAAGGAAGGAGCUGGGAGCCUGGGCUGCCUGUGUGUCGGCUGGAUGCUGCCAGCACCGGCAUGGACCAAGCAACUUCUCUGAGCCAGAUGCUGGGGACGCAGAGGUGAACCCAGAGACAUGAUCCCAUCUGCUCAGAUCUUCAUGUCAGAACACGCUUUAUUACAGUCUCGGCAAGGGGGUGGCUCCAUCUGGGCCGCAUCUCCAGGACUCCUGGCCUGGACUUCUCUUUGGACCUCGGGUGACCUUGGAUUCUGGCCACAGUGACUUAGCGGUCAGACUCCGGUGGUUUUCUAGCCCGCUGGGUGACUCCCUGAAGAUCUCAUCCUCUUCACACCUGUUGGGAUGGAGCCUCCCAUGGAUAGGAACUCUUCCUGGUUGAUGCUCAGCAGAUGACUGAUCUGGCUCUGGAGGACAGCUCCAGGGGUAUGAGGGAGGCCUGGCAGCCCACUACUCCCUCCUCACCUGCUCGGGCCCUGCCUGCUGGGCCCUAUUGUCUGGGUCUGGGGGCCCUUUCCUGCCCCAUGUGAACUUGAUUCCUCCUCGCGUUUCUGCCGGUGACCAGACAGAGCCUGGCCUGGGCCAAGUCCCCACUGACCACACUUUCCCCAAGGCUGGGUCUCAAAGGACCCUACAGGAUGGGGACAGGAACAAGGAUGGGAGUCGGGGAGGGGCUGUCAGGCAGAGGGCAGAUGCAGCUCCUCGGGUGCCGCUGGCUGGAGUCCUUUGUCUCCAUUUGCUCAGUGCGUAAUUGUCAUUUUGUGGGGGACUUCCUUGGUGGGGCUUUUCCAUGCUUUUCCUCUCCCUGAUGGUUACAAAGAGGAGACAGUCAGGAUCUGGGAGGAGCUGGAGCCUUCCCCCUGUGCUGUUGAACUCUGGGAGGGGCAGCCAGAGGGGCUGAGAGUGCACCAUCCUGAAAAGAGAGGGUCUUUAAGAGAUAAGAUUUAGGCUAGGGAAAUUCACUAGAAAGAGACAGGUGGCCCUGGGUUUUUUUUCCUGCCAUCCAAAGGGAACCAGUCUUACCCAAAGGCUUAAGGGGUCACCUUAGCCCAGUCUCAGGACACUCUUCUCCAAUCAGAUCGCUGCUUCUAGUUGCACUGCUCCUGGAUUCUGUUCUUGGGGAACAGAAGGUGGCAGGACAGGCCCCACAAUCUGCAAUUCCAGCUCCCUCCAGAGGAGACAGUCCCAGCGUUUGCAAGAGAGCAGCUUGUGGCCUCCCUUAGGCAAGUUUAAAAGCCAGAUGUCCUUUUUCCCAGAAUGCGGAGUGGUGUGUACUAUUCAUCAGCUUGGGCUGCCACAGCACCAUGCCAGACUGGAUGGCUUAAACAUCAGGAAUUUAUUUUCUGCCAGUUCUGGAGGCUGGAAAGUCCAGAUCAAGGUGUUAAGACUUGGUUUCUGGUGAGGCCUCUCUCCUUGGCUUGCAGGUGGCACCUUCUCACUAUGUCCUCACAUGGCCUUUUCUCUGUGGAGAGGGACAGAGAGCAUGAGCAGGCUCUGGUGUCUCCUCCUCUUCUUAUAAAGACACUAAUAUCACCAUAUUAGGGCUUAAACCUAUGACCUCAUUUAACCUUAACCCCUUAAAGGUCCCAUCUCCAAAAACAGUCACAUAGCAGGCUACUGCUUCAACAUAUGCAUUUGGGGGAGGGGACACCAUUCAGUUCUUAACAGGGUGGUCACCGCAAACAUGGAAAGUCAGAGCCUUCUCCCCUUCAGAAUUCCCGCCCCCACCCAGGGAUGGGGAGGAGGAGCAGAGAGGUAUGGGAAGCAGACACGGAGAGUGGCAGGUACCAUGCUGGGGUGGCUCAGGAGUGCUUCGGAGGACAUAUGGAACUGGCAGGGCUCAGUGCAGGGAGGCGGAGGCCCUGGGAGAGCCGUGUCCUGAGAAGGGCCUGGGCUACAACCCUGGGCAAGUUACUUCACCUCUGAGCCUCCGAUGCUCUGUGAAAUGGAAGGAAUGUGCUUGCCUGUCAGGUGCAGGGAGAAUUCAGUGAGAUUGUGUGCCUAGCACAGUGCCUGACUCCCAGUAGGUGCUCAGCAAAUGCUCCCAUCCAUCUGGGAGUAUAGACUUAGGGUUUAUCUAUUUUUUUUUUUUUUUGGCUCUCUGGACUUUAAAACUCAGCAUCUUCUGAACCAGAGGCAUUUCUGAUUAGCCCUUCCCUACCUAUUUUCCUAGUAUCACUCUUUAAUCAGCUUGGGGAGGUGGCAGCAUUUCAUGGCCUCCGUAGUAACUCACAAUGCUUCCUGGGGUAUUUAAAUUCUACUCUCUCAUCAGCACUGAGCACCUACUUUGGGCCCUUUCCCGUGCUAGCCAUUUGGGGGAAAUAUAGGUGAAGAGUGGCUGGGGUUUGAACCUUUAGGAUUUCACAGCCAUGCUGGAUGGGAUAAAACCAGCUCACAUGGAGAAUCAGAGAAUGGGACAGUGCCACAAAACAGUCUACUGAGGCACAAGUUCUGAGUGCCUGGGAAGUGGUAGAGAGACCCCAGAGAGGGCUGCUGCAGUCUGGAACAGCUUCCUAGCAAGCUGUACCAAACAGGGCCUUGAAGGAUGAGAAAGAUCUGGCUGAGAUGAUACCCGACCCUCUAGGGAAAUUCUUAAAGUAACUUCUAGGAAAUGUCAUUGCUCCUUAAAAAAAAAAAAAAAAAAAAAAAAGCAGGUUCUAAUUCAAAUUCCGCUGCACUACUGAAGUAGUGCAGGACUUAUCAGAACCUUUAAAAUGCUAAUGGCAAUUUCAAAUACUCAGGGACAGGGCAUAGGAUGAAGUGUUCCUUGACUUUUAUGGCCGUAGAAUCUUUUUCUCAUGGAACAUCGUUUAGAACUGUGGGAGAUGCUAGGCUGGGGUUUCUAUGGGAAAAGUACAGCAGUGAUAGAAGAUGGCAUAAUUAGGGUACACUUAGGUGCUUUGUAGCAUUGGCUGAAAAGGAAGCAGACCGGGUGGGCGUGGGGGAGUCUCAACUUGGUUCCAGGAGCCAGGCCAGCUUGAUGCGUUUUUUUUUUUUCUAAUGGUGGGAGGGCAGGCCAAUAGUUGGAGAAACUAGAGGCCUGACAGUCGGUGAUGGAAGAGAUGUCUACUAAGCACGGUUGUCAGAUCUUUUGCGGAGAGAUGCGGGUGUGCGUGUGUCUGUCAGAGUGUAACAGGAUCCAGCCCUCUGGGAAGGGGCUGACCAGAACCAGGCAGGGGGUUUCUGUCUAGGACAAGUAGGGUCCAUUUUCAGGGGAGCUGAAAUAUUUGCAGGGGGUGCUCUGAGACCCACAGCCAAUAAAUAGGGAAGCAACAUGCUUUUGGGCAGGGUCCAUGUGGUUAGGGUUGAUUUUGAUGGGGCUGGGGGGCUUAGAGUUAGACCCCCUGCCCUGGUCAGGCCCCACUCCCUGGCUGGUGGGGGCGGGAGGCCUCUGAAGCUGCAGCUGGAGGGGCCGGGGCAGUGUUGCAUGGUGUGAUUAACCUACUAACCCAGGGCUCAGCCGGGACGCUGUGGCGUGUGACGAGGUGCCUGGCCUUCUGCCAACCAACUAACCCACUAACCAGGCCCGAGCAUGCCCUACUAACCACCCCCCCGCAGCCAGAUCCUACUAACUGUGCAGCUCAUGGGCCUUUCAAGGGGCUGGGAUAUGGGGGCAGCCAAGGCUCCAGAAGGCUCUGCCUAUGGGCUGGGAUCUUUGUGCAGACCCACGUUCCAGGACAGAGAAUGCAAAUAAGACUCACCAACUCUGCCACUUCCUGUUGAGUGAGUUUGAGUAAGUCACCUCACUUCUCUCAACCUCAGUUUCCUCAGUGGUAGAAUGCGAGUUCUGAUACCUUACAGGUUGCAGUGAGGAUUCCCGUCAAUAUAAGGGUCUCAGCACAUGGCAGACACCUAAAAAAAAAAAAAGUAUGAGGAUGGAGGAAGGCCCCUCAAACCUGGUUGAACACGUCUGCUGCCUAGGCCCUGGCCUCUCUGGGUGUUCUGCACACAGAUCCUUCUGCCUGGGGCAAGACACUUGGCUUUGAAUCCAUGUCACUUCCCCACAUUCUUCCUCCGUCUCAGCUUUCUUUUCUGUAGGCAGCUCUUUUGUUCGAUUACUAACCCGUCUAACCCCUGGGGUGCCUCAACUGCACCCCGAUCAUCCCUUAACAAACUAACGGACCUGCGUGCGUUCUUCCUUUUCUCUUAGCGACUCCUGUGUGUGUCUGCUGAGGUGCCCUGUCCGCUGGUGCUGUGCUCUGACUUACUAACCCAGCCCCUACUAACCCUGUUUUCUCUUCUUACUAACCCCAGCCCUGCCGAGCUCUGGGCUCCCCCCGGGGGCUGGUCCCCCUCCUUUUGGCAAGCAGAUGACCUGGGGCUACUGGCCCUGUAGACAGAUGUCCCACUUUGCUGCCCCAUAUUGGCUGUAAGAUCAGAGUCCACUGGGCCAGGUCUAAGGCAGGGGAUGGCCCUAUUAACAAGACUCAGAGGAGGAAGAGGUGGUCCUGUGGAUGUGGGAGGCUGGACUCUGAGUAUGACAUCUCUCCUAUGUGCAGAAGUCUGGUUGCCACUGGGAGUAGGUGGGACCAGGGAAAUCUCUGGGACGUGAGUGUGGAGGCCUGUUGGUCUAGACUCUAGACUGUGGAGCUCUGAGCUUUUGUGUCCUCUGGAAGGAAGCUGGGGAAGAAUCCUCUCCAUUGUUAAGUGACGGGGAUAGAAGCUGUCCUGCACAGGAAGUCACGAGGGGGGCGUAUCCCACGAGGAAGGCAGGAGGGGGCGUGCCCCUCACCGGAAAUUAGCAGAGGGGCGUGUCCCACACCGGAAGUCAGAAAGCGGAGCCUUUCUUACACCGGAAGUCAAUGAAGCGGGUCUUUCCUACGCUAAAAACCACUGAGUGGAGUAUUUAGUACACAGGAAGUCGGC